AGGCCCGUAGCUCAGCCCGGCAGAGCGCCGGCCAAACUCCUCCCCGAAUCCUUGCCCGCUGCCCGCGGGCCGAAGGCGGAGGAUCAUCGGGAGCCGGUGGGCGCGGGUUCAAAUCCCGCCGGGCAUC
rnacentral:tRNA from 1 species